AUGCUCUGGUUUCUCUUCAUCAAUCGUGCUAAUCUUUCGCCUUUUACUAAAGAUUACCGUGGAGAGGAGCAUCUUAAUGAGCCUUAACAAUUUUUGGAAUCCCACUGCGUGGGAU